rnacentral:rRNA from 1 species
UACCAGCACCCCGAGUGGUCGGGACGAUUAUUGGGCCUAAAGCAUCCGUAGCCGGUUCUACAAGUCUUCCGUUAAAUCCACCUGCUCAACAGAUGGGCUGCGGAGGAUACUAUAGAGCUAGGAGGCGGGAGAGGCAAGCGGUACUUAGCGGGUAGGGGUAAAAUCCGUUGAUCCAUUGAAGACCACCAGUGGCGAAGGCGGCUUGCCAGAACGCACUCGACGGUGAGGGAUGAAAGCUGGGGGAGCAAACCGG